rnacentral:rRNA from 1 species
GACGAACGCUGGCGGCAUGCCUAACACAUGCAAGUCGAACGGCAACACACUGCUUUCUUGCGGUGAUGGAGUGGCGAUGGGGUGCGUAACACGUGAGUAACCUAAUCUUCACUUUGGGAUAACUUAAGGAAGCGGGAGUUAAUCUCAGAUCGCAGAUCACGCUGCGUGGUGAGGGUUGGAACGUUUCGGCGGUUGUGGUUGGACGCGCGGGUGUUCAGCUAGUUGGUGGGGUAGUGGCUGACCAAGGGAUUGACCGGUAGGCGGCCUGAGAGGGUGGCCGGCCACAUUACGACUAAGAUACGGCCCAGACGCGUACGGUAGACAACGGUGGGGAAUCUUACACAAUGAUCGCACGCCGGUUGCAGCAACGCCGCGUUUGUGAUGACGUCCUGCUGGGAGUAAACCGCAGUCGGUUGUGACGAAGCGUUAGUGACGGUAAUGAGUGAAUAAGCACCGGCUAACUACGUG